rnacentral:rRNA from 1 species
UACGAGUGGGCCAAGCGUUAAUCGGAAUCACUGGGCUUAAAGCGUGCGCAGGCGGACCUGCAAGCAUUCCGUGAAAUCCCCGGCUCAACCGGGGAACAGCGAGGUGAACUGCCGGUCUUGAGGCGGGUAGGGGCCGACGGAACUAUGGGUGGAGCGGUGAAAUGCGUAGAUAUCCAUGGGAACGCCAAUGGUGAAGACAGUCGGCUGGGCCCGUCCUGACGCUCAGGCACGAAAGCGUGGGGAGCAAACAGG